AGCCUCAGACAUCUGUUUCCAGAUGGCAGACCUGAGAUCAGCAGACACCUUCUGGAGAUCCUCGGCAGUGCUCUUGCCAUCCCAGAAUGACUCCAACGCGAACUUGAGCUCUCUCUUGGGGCCCAUGCGAGGGUAUCCAACAAUGUGUGACGCCAUUUCGAUUUUUUUACUUUUACUGCAUCAAACAGUAAAAAACAAUUCAAGAUCAAUAUAAAAAAAGAUAAUAAAACAAAGUUUCAAACUCCAAGAAAGUGGCAGAUUUAAAUAUUCACGUGUUAA